UUUUCCUCUAUUCUGUAUGGUGCUGAUUUGCAUGGAUGAUGGCAUCUUUUGCGCACAGAAACUUUUUACUUUGAUGUAAAUCCCGUUUCCUAAUUGUAGUUCUUGAUGUCUGCACCAUUAGCAUUCUGUUCAGAAAGUUCUUUCCUGUGCCAAGCCGUUCAAUUGAAUUUUCUACUAUGUCCUCCAUCAAAUUUAGGUUAUCUGAUCUUCCUUUGAGAUCUUUAAUCCAAUUGGAUUUGAGCUUUAUGAAGGGUGAGAGAUAAAGAAGUAUUCAGUUUUAUUUUUCAACUUGUAGCUGUUCAGUUUGAUCAGUGCCAUUUUUUGAAGAUAAUGGUGUUUUUUAUUUGUUUGUUUGUUUGGUUGGUUGGUUGGUAUUUUUUUCCUCUCCUGUGUAUUUUUAGUCUCUUUGUCAUAUAGCUUUAGGAAUGUCAGCUUAUACAGCUUAUCAAAUUUCUUCCACUGAUCAGUCUACUGUAGGCCAGUACCAUGCUGUUUUUAUUACUAUAACUCUAGUGUAACUUGAAAUUUAGGGAUUUUUUUAUUUGCUUUUUGGGCUCUUGGGGGUUUGCACAAUUAGGUUUAAUCUCAUCCUUAAAUACCUGUCAGAUUUCCUUGUGAAAAUCUGUACCUCAAGAAUUCUGUUCCAACAUGUUAAAAUGAUAGAGUCUAUUUCCUUAGGACCAGCCACACUACUAAUAUUGGGUGUACUGUAGGUGGGACUUUCUUUCCCCUGUUUUAUCUGUUUUUAAAAAUGUCUCAUGAAAUGCUGCACAGAACAUCCUUUUUAAAAAAAAUUCAUACUAUUUUGAAUUCCCCUAUUAGGUUUAUAGUCUCUUCAGGUUUUUUAUAUGUUAUGACAAUUCAUGUUUUUCUGGACAUCUUAGUUUAUAGUUUCUAACUAAUAAUUAUUACCUACUACAACCAUAUUGCUUUAUUAUAUUCUUAAUUAUUUUGUGUUGUGGUAUAAAAAAUAUUUAUUUACAGCCAGGCUUAAAAGCUAUAUUUGCAUUCCUAUAAUUCUAAGACUCAGAAGACAAUUGCAAUGUUGUUGCCACAACUUACAGGCUAGCCUAUGCUACAUGGUAAAAUACUUUGAGGGGGCAGGGGUUGCUUGCCUAUAUUCUUUUUACUUUUACUGUCUAUGCUUUAAUAAUCUCAACUCUACUUUUAAGAAAAUCCAGAUUGUUUUGCUAGGGAUCAAAGGUGGAGGGAUGGAAACAAAAAGCCUCCGAGAUAUUGUUCCCCAAAGAAACACGGAAACAGAUAGAAUCUUUCUGACACAAUUUUCUACAGUCACUAAAAAAGCAGCUCAGGGUACAUAGCAACUUUCCAAAUAUACAAUCAAGAGAAACUGCAUUCUGCAUCAUCUUCUAUUUCCUAGUUCUUCCCUAACAACAGACAGAGGAGAUGACAUCUAUGGUUUAAAUUACCAAGUUGUGUUCUAAACUGUGUGUAGAAUACCAAGACGACUGAAGCAAUGGGUGUUUUGUUCUCUAUAAUUCAGAAUGUAGGUAAGGAAAGAAAAGGGCCCAGCUUUUAAAGGCUACAAACUGACAGUGGCACAUAGGUGCCCUUAAAGAGGAAGUAAAAUAAACCACAAAAAUCACAAAGUAAAAGGCAGGAAGAUGAGCAAAUUAGAAGUUAUUUAUAUACACAAGAUAAUUUGAAAACCAUAAUAAUUUCUAGGAAAGGUAUAUGGUCCUAAGAACCCCAAGUAAUCCUAAGUUUUUGUUUAGGACUGAUGUCUUGUCACAAAGCAGGCAUAUUAAUGGCUUUAGUGUUCUCCAGUGAACAGUCUGCAAAGAAUGAGGGAAGUUGAAACAAACAGGGAUUUAAUUUUCAUUCAUUUCAUUUUUAUAAUCAAAUUCCUAAGUUCCAGCCUAAGGCCUGCAAAGAAGUAGUAAAUAUGUUUAUCUCAAAGGAAGAAAGUGCAUUGACAUCUACUUAGACAUAAAAUCUGCUAGGUAAAAUGUUACACCAUUCAUCUUCACAUCCCAUGUUAAGGAUAAGAGAAAAGAUGUAUAAAGAACUGAGGAAAUAAAUGACUGUAAUUGAAUGAAGUGUACAAAACCAACCAAGAAAUAGAAAUGACACAGAGGCCCAACAGAAGUGCUGAACCCCAUCACUAUAAUAAUUAAAGUGAUUAAUUCACUAACAGGGUUGAACUAUAGAUUUGUACAUACAGAAGAAAGAGUUCAUAGUCUUAAAAAUAUGACAAAGCAAUUGAAUCUAAGGGG
rnacentral:lncRNA from 1 species